rnacentral:rRNA from 1 species
CUGGCGUCCUUUGGGCGUCCGAGUUGUAAUCUAUAGAAGCGUUUUCCGUGCUGGACCAUGUCCAAGUCCCUUGGAACAGGGUAUCAAAGAGGGUGACAAUCCCGUGCUUGACAUGACGACCAGUGCUCUGUGAUAUGUUCUCUACGAGUCGAGUUGUUUGGGAAUGCAGCUCAAAAUGGGUGGUGAGUUCCAUCUAAAGCUAAAUAUUGGCGAGAGACCGAUAGCGAACAAGUACCGUGAGGGAAAGAUGAAAAGCACUUUGGAAAGAGAGUUAAACAGUACGUGAAAUUGUUGAAAGGGAAACGAUUGAAGUCAGUCGUGUCCGAGGGGUUCAACCGGUCAUGCCGGUGUAUUCCCCUCGGAUGGGUCAACGUCAGUUUGGACCGGUGGAAAAGGGCAGUUGGAAGGUAGCAGCUCCGGUUGUGUUAUAGCCUUCUGUCGCAUACACUGGUCUGGACUGAGGCAUGCAGCUCGCCUUUAUGGCUGGGGUUCUCCCACAU